CCUUAGAAACACCGGUUCUCAUAUGAUCACCAAAGUUGAGCAACAUCAAGUCUGUUCAGUACCUAGAUGAGUGACUGCUUUGGAAUACUAGGUGCUGUA